rnacentral:rRNA from 1 species
UCCCUUCGGGGACAGCAGAGACAUGGUGGUGCAUGGCUGUCGUCAGCUCGUGUCGUGAGAUGUUGGGUUAAGUCCCGCAACGAGCGCAACCCUUGUCACUAGUUGCCAGCAUUAAGUUGGGCACUCUAGUGAGACUGCCGGUGACAAACCGGAGGAAGGUGGGGAUGACGUCAAGUCAUCAUGCCCCUUAUGACCUGGGCUACACACGUGCUACAAUGGGCAGUACAACGAGAAGCGAACCCGCGAGGGCAAGCGGAUCUCUUAAAGCUGUUCUCAGUUCGGACUGCAGGCUGCAACUCGCCUGCACGAAGCUGGAAUCGCUAUAAUCGUGGAUCACACGCCACGGUGAAUACGUUCCCGGGUCUUGUACACACCG